rnacentral:lncRNA from 1 species
CUCCCUUACUGUCACUCUUCAGCCACAGGGUUUUAACCAAAUGGUAUUGUUUUCAAUAACAGAAACAGAGUUUUUAGGACAGAAGAGGAAAUCCUUCAGUGAAGGCAAAGUUUGAAAGGCCAAGAUGCUGCUACUCUGCUUCUGUGUCAGAAGGAAAGACUUCAGUAGAAAAACAGUCGGUUACAUUUAUCUUUGGUGCAGCUCUCAGAUCCUAAGUGCUGAUGCCCUGGAGAGCACUCUGAUGUCAGAAAGGUGCUUUCAGACUCUAAAUCAGGAUGCUGAAUUUGAAAAGAAGCAUGAGAAAGCAAAGAGACUAUUGAGAGGGACCAAGUGGUUUCAUAGCAUCAUUGAAAUUUAUAGUUUGGAAAAGACCUUAGGAUCAUCAAGUCCAGCUGUUAACCCAGCACUUCCAAGUCCAGCACUAAAUCGAGUGCCAUAAGAGUGGCUAAGAGCAGGGCACACACAGCAGCUGAUACUUGAGAAGCAGCAAGUUCACCCCAGAGCUCUGUCUGGGCAGCUUUGUUAGUCGUGGUGGGUGUGGAUCUUAGAGAAGCCACGGCUUCUGCUAGGUGGAUGCUGUCACUCCCUGGCUGAACCAGCAGGGCUUCAGCACCCUUCCUGCAUGCUCUUCCACAAGAACUGCUACCCAGACUGGCACGUCACUCCCUGUUUGCCUGCUCUGCUUGUGGAACUCCUGGUUGGUGGUGCUCCACUGCACUAGGUGGUACACAAAUAUAAGAGAUGAUCCUUGACCUUGAAUUGUUGCAGUAUGAAUAGACAAGAAAAAAGGACUGCAGAAAGGAAGGGCUGUUGAGCAUGUUUUACAGGCAAAAAGCUGAGAUACAGGGAGAUAAUACUUCACGAUACAGAACUGCAAGUGCACUUAAAGAAGUAUUCCUGACCUUUCUCAUUCCAGAAAAUAUGUCCUCAGUCUGCCAAUAGCCCAUGUAACUGAAAUUAAAAGAAUCAGUAUUUUCCAGGUUUUGAGACUGAGGUAAUUUCACAAGUAUCCUGGGAACAGAGGUAGGAGUGACCACUAAGUAUAAUGCUCUGGCAGUCUGCAAAAGGCAAAGAAAAGAAGUAAUCUCCUUCAAGGAGAAUGGGCCUUUUUUUUUUGUCUCCUAAAAUCACCCCCUGUAAUAGCUGUUACCAGCCUAUCUUUUUGUUCUUUGAGGUAUUCUGCAAUAACAAUCUCCAGUGCUAUCUAAAGAUUUGAUUGGUAUGCAGAAAACCAGCAUAUGUCAAGUUAGAAGCAAGACACGUAGGACAUUUAGUUUCCCAAAAGAUUAUUGAUUAAUAUUCCUCAAAUACCUUAUUCUAUGCAUUUAAUGAUAUUUUUUCCAUGCAUUAUUCAUUUUUCACUAUUUUCACAUCUUAUAGAAGAAUUUUCCUGAAAAGUUUAAAUAAAAUAUUCGCAAUUUAGUUCA